AAGUCAGUGGUGGUGUAGAUGGUGAUGACAGCUCAUACAGAAAUGCUGCUAGAUUUCUAACCAUUGCCUCGGAACACUGAUUUCAAACUGCAGUGCUAUAAUGACAGCAUAAAUGAAGCCUCCAGAAAGAGACCCAAAUCUGUACCAAGUGCCCAGGCCCAUUUGAACACCAAAGACUUGAACAGCAAUAAGGAGAAUUUACCCUUGUUAGAGGUCACACCAAAAGUUAAAUUUAUUCAAUUCUUCACUUCCCCAAGGUGGAUUUUUCCUUCAUUCAAUUUUUACAAAUUAUGUCAACCACAUACAGGAUUUUUUAAAAAAAUAUAAACUAAGUACACUUUUGUUGCCUUCAAGGGGUUGUUCCCAAAUUACAUUGGUGUCAUGCUGGAAUGAGAUCAUCUCAGUUCAACCACCACUCAAAACAUCACUCUUACCCACAAAACUGGCUUCUACCACUCUCAAAGGUACAAAAGGUUAAAGUCAGUGAGCAAAAACCACGUGCAUUUGGUGGACGGUGGUUCUGCAAAGAUGACUGACGGAAGAAAGGCGAAAAGUACAAGUACAGCAGCAUGGCACAGCAGAAACCAGCUCAUUGGAGAUGGCAGAUGGACAGAACACUAUUAGUUAUGAUUAAUUUUACUUUUUUUUUUCCAUUAUUUUGUUCAUUAAAG